rnacentral:tRNA from 1 species
GCCGGGAUAGCUCAGAUGGUAGAGCAACGGUUUCGUAAACCGUGGGUCAGGGGUUCGACUCCCCUUCUCGGCUCCA